AUUGAACGCUGGCGGCAUGCCUUACACAUGCAAGUCGAACGGCAGCAUGGGUGCUUGCACCUGAUGGCGAGUGGCGAACGGGUGAGUAAUGCAUCGGAACGUACCCGGAAGUGGGGGAUAACGUAGCGAAAGUUACGCUAAUACCGCAUAUUCUGUGAGCAGGAAAGAGGGGGAUCGCAAGACCUCUCGCUUUCGGAGCGGCCGAUGUCGGAUGAGCUAGUUGGCGGGGUAAAGGCCCACCAAGGCAACGAUCCGUAGCGGGUCUGAGAGGAUGAUCCGCCACACUGGGAGUGAAACACGGCCCAGACUCCUACGGGAGGCAGCAGUGGGGAAUUUUGGACAAUGGGGGCAACCCUGAUCCAGCCAUGCCGCGUGAGUGAAGAAGGCCUUCGGGUUGUAAAGCUCUUUCGGCUGUGAAGAAAUCGCAUCUCCUAAUACGGGGUGUGGAUGACGGUACCAGCAUAAGAAGCACCGGCUAACUACGUGCCAGCCGCCGCGGUAA
rnacentral:rRNA from 1 species